rnacentral:lncRNA from 1 species
CCUCUCUGGCAUUCAGCAUCUGUAAAAUCUGUGGUUGCCAUAGUAGCAGGUUGUUGCCUGAGUGAUAGUGUUCUUAUGAUGUCAUCAGAAAAUAGCCUGUUCCCAGGAAUACCUUGAACUCCAUAUAGAAGAGAGCUGCCCUCAGUGUAGUUCAGUAUGGAAACAAUUAGAAAUGCAUGUUUUUAUAUUGUUAUGAAAUACCUCUUUUCUAUGUACUGGCACAUCUUGACAUCUGUGAUGGAAUUUUUAAAGAAAACAGGAGAAUUGCUUUGAACUUGUUGAAGAAGGGUUAUUAUGUAAAAUGUGUAUCUGACGCAUACAGAAGCUUAGAGGAUGAAUUGACCUUGUACAAACUUAGCCAACCUCAGCAAUCUCCUGCCAGAUGUGUGCUUCAUUAUUUAAGUGAUACCACACUGUCAGACUCCUCCUGAAAUGAAGUGGACAUGCCAAUGCAGCGUCUGGUCCUCAGAUCCUUAGUUCCUGGCAUGGACAGACCUGGAAGUCGUGUCAGCCAUGAAGGUCAAUGGACAUAUCUGUGAGGAUGUGGCUGGAGGUACUUGGAGAAGGAGAAAGCAUCAAAACCACUCCUCCCUGUGUGUACAUCUAUAUCCAGAGGUAAGUCAGGAUACUGAAAUGAGGAGAAGGGAGGGGAAAGCACAAGUUACUUGCCUUUAUAGCACUGUCAAGAACUUUUUAGUUUUCUUUGUUCAAAAGCAUUUGGGAACAAGAGGGGACAGCUUAAGAGAAAAGUUGCUCUAAUGGAGAGAGAUGUGCCAGCAGGUCAUCCUGAAACUGCACUUUAACUGUAUCACUAUGGAUCAUCC